UACUUAUGCCCUCUUAUUAUAAAACGCGGUAUCAAAUAAGUAUCGGCUUUUGUACUGCCUUUAAUCCACCUUUAAGUACGACCUUGAAAAAACGUUAUUACAAAACGCAGUUUAUCGCAAGUCCUAUUACUAUCUGUAGUACAAAAGAUAAACCAUCGAGCCCCCUAGUUUAACUGCAGUACUUAGUCGACAAACGUCAAAUUCCGACAUUAUUUACUUUAAGGUUAUUUGUUUUGUGAUGAAAAAAACGAAAGUGGAUAUAAAUAUGUGUGAUUUGGAAUACUUGGAUGUGUUAGACUACUAUUGAGAGUGUCCGGGGACCCAACAGAAUGCGUCAUCGACAAAAUCUCUUCAAAUUACCUGACGACAAUUUUCGAUAUAAAUAUCGAUUUACGUUUUUCGAAAUAAUAGUCAAAUGAAUGCAUGAUGAUAAUCCAGGAUGAUCCUAUGAUGCUCAACUGGGCUCGCCAUAAAAUUCAAGACUAUUUUGGCGUUUUGCACGCCGUAUCUCUGCCAGUAAUAUGCAAUGUUUGUAAAAGACUGGAAGCUUGCUAAAAUGUACAAAAAUGCCUAGAUGAGAAAGGGAACAAGAUUGUGUGAUGAAGAACAGUGUCCAACAUGUAUCAGUGCAUUUGACUGUAUAAAUAGAGAUCGGAAUAAAAUAUAAUUUUCUACUUUUA